AUUGAACGCUGGCGGCAUGCCUUACACAUGCAAGUCGAACGGCAGCAUGGAGAGCUUGCUCUCUGAUGGCGAGUGGCGAACGGGUGAGUAAUGCAUCGGAACGUACCGUGUAAUGGGGGAUAACGUAGCGAAAGUUACGCUAAUACCGCAUACGACCUGAGGGUGAAAGCAGGGGAUCGCAAGACCUUGCGUUAUACGAGCGGCCGAUGUCAGGUUAGCUAGUUGGUAGGGUAAAGGCCUACCAAGGCGACGAUCUGUAGCGGGUCUGAGAGGAUGAUCCGCCACACUGGGACUGAGACACGGCCCAGACUCCUACGGGAGGCAGCAGUGGGGAAUUUUGGACAAUGGGGGAAACCCUGAUCCAGCCAUGCCGCGUGAGUGAAGAAGGCCUUCGGGUUGUAAAGCUCUUUCGGCUGGGAAGAAAUCGCACAGGCUAAUACUCUGUGUGGAUGACGGUACCAGCAUAAGAAGCACCGGCUAACUACGUGCCAGCCGCCGCCGUAA
rnacentral:rRNA from 1 species